UACCCGAAUGGGGAAACCCAGUGUGAUUCGUCACACUAUCAUUAACUGAAUCCAUAGGUUAAUGAGGCGAACCGGGGGAACUGAAACAUCUAAGUACCCCGAGGAAAAGAAAUCAACCGAGAUUCCCCCAGUAGCGGCGAGCGAACGGGGAGGAGCCCAGAGCCUGAAUCAGCAUGUGUGUUAGUGGAAGCGUCUGGAAAGGCGCGCGAUACAGGGUGACAGCCCCGUACACAAAAGCGCAUGUGCUGUGAGCUCGAUGAGUAGGGCGGGACACGUGGUAUCCUGUCUGAAUAUGGGGGGACCAUCCUCCAAGGCUAAAUACUCCUGACUGACCGAUAGUGAACCAGUACCGUGAGGGAAAGGCGAAAAGAACCCCGGCGAGGGGAGUGAAAAAGAACCUGAAACCGU
rnacentral:rRNA from 4 species